rnacentral:rRNA from 2 species
GUGAGGUAACGGCUCACCAAGGCAUCGACGGGUAGCUGGUCUGAGAGGAUGAUCAGCCACACUGGGACUGAGACACGGCCCAGACUCCUACGGGAGGCAGCAGUGGGGAAUAUUGCACAAUGGGCGCAAGCCUGAUGCAGCGAUGCCGCGUGCGGGAUGAAGGCCCUAGGGUUGUAAACCGCUUUCAGUAGGGAAGAAAAUGACGGUACCUACAGAAGAAGGUGCGGCCAACUACGUGCCAGCAGCCGCGGUGACACGUAGGCACCAAGCGUUGUCCGGAUUUAUUGGGCGUAAAGAGCUCGUAGGCGGUUCAGUUAGUCGGGUGUGAAAACUCUGGGCUCAACCCAGAGACGCCACCCGAUACUGCUGUGACUAGAGUACGGUAGGGGAGUGGGGAAUUCCUGGCGUAGCGGUGAAAUGCGCAGAUAUCAGGAGGAACACCAGUGGCGAAGGCGCCACUCUGGGCCGUAACUGACGCUGAGGAGCGAAAGCAUGGGUAGCAAACAGGAUUAGAUACCCUGGUAGUCCAUGCCGUAAACGUUGGGCACUAGGUGUGGGUCUCAACCAACGAGAUCCGCGCCGUCGCUAACGCAUUAAGUG